ACUCAACGUUAAUUCUUUAAAAAGGGUGAGUUGAAGUUGUAAAAGCAGGCUGCUAGUAGUAAUACUUGGGCAGAUCCUUGAUCAGCUUGUUAGCCCUAAACUUGUUUUUAAGGAGUUU
rnacentral:sRNA from 1 species